AUUGAACGCUGGCGGCAUGCCUUACACAUGCAAGUCGAACGGUAACAGGUCUUCGGAUGCUGACGAGUGGCGAACGGGUGAGUAAUACAUCGGAACGUGCCUAGUAGUGGGGGAUAACUACUCGAAAGAGUGGCUAAUACCGCAUGAGAUCUACGGAUGAAAGCAGGGGAUCGAAAGACCUUGUGCUACUAGAGCGGCUGAUGGCAGAUUAGGCAGUUGGUGGGAUAAAAGCUUACCAAGCCGACGAUCUGUAGCUGGUCUGAGAGGACGAUCAGCCACACUGGGACUGAGACACGGCCCAGACUCCUACGGGAGGCAGCAGUGGGGAGUUUUGGACAAUGGGCGAAAGCCUGAUCCAGCAAUGCCGCGUGCAGGAUGAAGGCCUUCGGGUUGUAAACUGCUUUUGUACGGAACGAAAAGCCCCGGGUUAAUACCCUGGGGUCAUGACGGUACCGUAGGAAUAAGCACCGGCUAACUACGUGCCAGCAGCCGCGGUAA
rnacentral:rRNA from 1 species